CUACCGCAGGUCCGGGUCUCACGUAGUGAGACAACGGAGCCGCUUGCGGCGACGGCCCGAAGGGCGAGCAAAGCGAGUCAUCCUGCACGACCCACCA
rnacentral:sRNA from 1 species